rnacentral:lncRNA from 1 species
GCACUAGAAACUUAUUUUUGAAAAAACUUUGCGCCUUGAGCAUAAGAUAAGAGAUUGGACGAAGGACCCACACCAUUCUUGAUUGCUUUGAAAAACAUGAUGUGGGUUUGGUGAGUCCUGGAGUGAUAGCCAUAUUUUGUAAGUUCCCCCUCCCUUUUGCAUGGGAAAUCUCUCUUUCAGCUUAUCUUUCGUAAGUAUCCCUA